rnacentral:rRNA from 1 species
AUUGAACGCUGGCGGCAGGCUUAACACAUGCAAGUCGAGCGGGGUGAUGGUGCUUGCACUAUCACUUAGCGGCGGACGGGUGAGUGAUGCUUAGGAAUCUGCCUAUUAGUGGGGGACAACAUCUCGAAAGGGAUGCUAAUACCGCAUACGUCCUACGGGAGAAAGCAGGGGAUCACUUGUGACCUUGCGCUAAUAGAUGAGCCUAAGUCGGAUUAGCUAGUUGGUGGGGUAAGGGCCUACCAAGGCGACGAUCUGUAGCGGGUCUGAGAGGAUGAUCCGCCACACUGGGACUGAGACACGGCCCAGACUCCUACGGGAGGCAGCAGUGGGGAAUAUUGGACAAUGGGGGGAACCCUGAUCCAGCCAUGCCGCGUGUGUGAAGAAGGCCUUAUGGUUGUAAAGCACUUUAAGCGAGGAGGAGGCUCUUUUGGUUAAUACCCAAGAUGAGUGGACGUUACUCGCAGAAUUAGCACCGGCUUACUCUGUGCCAGCCGCCGCCGUAA